GCACCCUGUGUUAGGCUGGAGGGUCCCUGGCAUCUUUCCUGCCUCCUAGCCCAGGCUCUCUGCCAUCUGUCUCCUGUCUUGGCAGAAAGUGACCAAUGUUUGUCCUGGCCUGAAGUGUUGUGAACCCCAUUAAAGGGCCUUAUGGGCUUGUUUUCCGAGGAGUCAGGGGACCCCGUCCAUGGCGUCUCCCCUGCUGGGCAGUGGUCAGCUCAUGGGCAGCUGUUCUUGUCACAGGGCUGCCCCCAGUGCCACGCAGAUCACUGUGGUCCUUCCACAUUCCUCCUGCGAACUGCUCUACCUGGGCACUGAGAGUGGCAACGUGUUUGUGGUGCAGCUGCCAGCUUUUCGCGCGCUGGAGGACCGGACCAUCAGCUCGGACGCGGUGCUUCAGCGGUUGCCAGAGGAGGCCCGCCACCGGCGUGUGUUUGAGAUGGUGGAGGCACUGCAGGAGCACCCUCGAGACCCCAACCAGAUCCUGAUCGGCUACAGCCGAGGCCUUGUUGUCAUCUGGGACCUACAGGGCAGCCGCGUGCUCUACCACUUCCUCAGCAGCCAGCAACUGGAGAACAUCUGGUGGCAGCGGGACGGCCGCCUG
rnacentral:sRNA from 1 species